rnacentral:rRNA from 1 species
GAUGAACGCUGACAGAAUGCUUAACACAUGCAAGUCGAUGGGGAAGUGGUGCUUGCACCAUGGCAACCAUGGCGGACGGGUGAGUAACGCGUAAGGGACUUACCUGCAGGACUGGGAUAACAGGGGGAAACUCCUGACAAGACCGGAUAAUGUCAUGGAGCUGCAUGGCUUUAUGAUGAAAGGAGACGCCUGCGGAGAGCCUUGCGUCCUAUUUGCUAGUUGGUGAGGUAAUGGCUCACCAAGGCGAAGAUAGGUAGCCGGCCUGAGAGGGUGGACGGCCACAAGGGGACUGAGAUACGGCCCUUACUCCUACGGGAGGCAGCAGUGGGGAAUAUUGGACAAUGGGGGCAACCCUGAUCCAGCAAUUCUGUGUGCACGAAGAAGGUUUUCGGAUUGUAAAGUGCUUUCAGCAGGGAAGAAGUAAGUGACGGUACCUGCAGAAGAAGCGACGGCUAAAUACGUG